AGUAAUGCGUGACCAACCUGCCCCAUGCUCCAGAAUAGCUCUUGGAAACGGGUGGUAAUGCUGGAUGCUCCAACUUGACGCAUGUCUUGUUGGAAAGUGUUUAGUGGCNAUGGGAUGGGGUCGCGUCCUAUCAGCUUGUAGGCGGGGUAAUGGCCCACCUAGGCUUCGACGGGUAGCCGGCCUGAGAGGGCGGACGGCCACAUUGGGACUGAGAUACGGCCCAGACUCCUACGGGAGGCAGCAGAU
rnacentral:rRNA from 1 species